CGGCACACAGAGUACUCGUUGCCAUUUCGUUUACUGGUCACUCACGGCAUGAUUCGGACGAGCGACGAUGCGGCUCGAUCUUACCAUCGAUAAAACGGUACAAUUUAAUUUAAUUCAAUUCAACCACGGUCGAUAGUAACGCAGUCAAAUUUAUCGCCGUAAAUACUGAUGGUAUUAAAAAUUGAUGUGUGCACCUGGUGAUUCGAUUCGUGUGUAACGUAGAAAGAUUAAUAGAGAAUCAAUGUUUAUCUGGAUGGUUUAAUUAUGCAGUGAGUCGAACGAUAUAUGACCGUUUACUUGUGAUUGCAGACAUUAAUCAGUUAAUCAUGGAAGUUACAAUGAUUUACUUGCAGUUGUAAAUCAAUUAAAUGGAAGUUUUCCUUUCGCGUGUAUCAAAAGAUAAAUAAUAGUACGAAUGAUAAAUAAUUAUAAUCUGUAGGUAUAAGUACACGUUAAAACAUCAUUAAUCAGUUUAUCAUACCAUACACGAUAAUAAUUUAUAAACAUGAGGAUAUAAAUCGUAAAAUAAGGAUAAAGAACGUAAAUCAUCUGAGGAAGUUAGGAAUACUGUUAUUGUGGGAUAAAAUGGAUAUUGAGAUUAUUAUUCGACGUUGUCCUAGAACUUUCAAGAAAAACACUCGAUAAAUGUGUCAACAAGCGCUGCUUGAACAAUUAAAUAACAAGUUCCAUAAAGUAACCUCGAUCAUUAUGUGCUCUAAUGAACCGCCCUUCGUUCAUUCUUAUUUCCUUAGAUUCGCAAACCAAAUAAAUAGAACGCAAGAUAUCAGAAGAAGAACAGUGAAAUUGCUAGAUCCGGUUGCCUGGUGAGCUUUAGUUUGACAAAUCAGAUGCCCGAUACCCACGCCACCUACUACUGCUUUAAAAAUAAAUAAAACUGGAUGCUGUCGCUAUACAACACGAAAGAAGAGGUUAAUCGCUGA